GUAAGUGGCAAGCGUUGUCCGGAAUUAUUGGGCGUAAAGCGCGCGCAGGCGGUUCUUUAAGUCUGAUGUGAAAGCCCACGGCUCAACCGUGGAGGGUCAUUGGAAACUGGAGAACUUGAGUACAGAAGAGGAAAGCGGAAUUCCACGUGUAGCGGUGAAAUGCGUAGAGAUGUGGAGGAACACCAGUGGCGAAGGCGGCUUUCUGGUCUGUAACUGACGCUGAGGCGCGAAAGCGUGGGGAGCAAACAGGGAUUAGAUACCCUGGUAGUCCACGCCGUAAACGAUGAGUGCUAAGUGUUAGGGGGGUUUCCGCCCCCUUAGUGCUGCAGCUAACGCAUUAAGCACUCCGCCUGGGGAGUACGGCCGCAAGGCUG
rnacentral:rRNA from 1 species